rnacentral:rRNA from 1 species
GGGGNNNCCUAUCGCCAAUCGCCUUGAGUUGAUCAUGGCUCAGAACGAACGCUGGCGGCAUGCCUAACACAUGCAAGUCGAACGAGACCUUCGGGUCUAGUGGCGCACGGGUGCGUAACGCGUGGGAAUCUGCCCUCUGGUUCGGAACAACAGUUGGAAACGACUGCUAAUACCGGAUAAUGACUUCGGUCCAAAGAUUUAUCGCCUGAGGAUGAGCCCGCGUAGGAUUAGCUUGUUGGUGAGGUAAAAGCUCACCAAGGCGACGAUCCUUAGCUGGUCUGAGAGGAUGAUCAGCCACACUGGGACUGAGACACGGCCCAGACUCCUACGGGAGGCAGCAGUGGGGAAUAUUGGACAAUGGGCGAAAGCCUGAUCCAGCAAUGCCGCGUGAGUGAUGAAGGCCUUAGGGUUGUAAAGCUCUUUUACCCGGGAUGAUAAUGACAGUACCGGGAGAAUAAGCCCCGGCUAACUCCGUGCCAGCAGCCGCGGUAAUACGGAGGGGGCUAGCGUUGUUCGGAAUUACUGGGCGUAAAGCGCACGUAGGCGGCUUUGUAAGUUAGAGGUGAAAGCCCAGGGCUCAACCCUGGAAUUGCCUUUAAGACUGCAUCGCUUGAAUUGUGGAGAGGUAAGUGGAAUUCCGAGUGUAGAGGUGAAAUUCGUAGAUAUUCGGAAGAACACCAGUGGCGAAGGCGACUUACUGGACACAUAUUGACGCUGAGGUGCGAAAGCGUGGGGAGCAACAGGAUUAGAUACCCUGGUAGUCCACGCCGUAAACGAUGAUGAC